rnacentral:rRNA from 1 species
GGAAGAAGCGAAAGUGACGGUACCUGCAGAAGAAGCACCGGCUAACUACGUGCCAGCAGCCGCGGUAAUACGUAGGGUGCGAGCGUUAUCCGGAAUUAUUGGGCGUAAAGAGCUCGUAGGCGGUUUGUCGCGUCUGUCGUGAAAGUCCGGGGCUUAACCCCGGAUCUGCGGUGGGUACGGGCAGACUAGAGUGCAGUAGGGGAGACUGGAAUUCCUGGUGUAGCGGUGGAAUGCGCAGAUAUCAGGAGGAACACCGAUGGCGAAGGCAGGUCUCUGGGCUGUAACUGACGCUGAGGAGCGAAAGCAUGGGGAGCGAACAGGAUUAGAUACCCUGGUAGUCCAUGCCGUAAACGUUGGGCACUAGGUGUGGGGACCAUUCCACGGUUUCCGCGCCGCAGCUAACGCAUUAAGUGCCCCGCCUGGGGAGUACGGCCGCAAGGCUAAAACUCAAAGGAAUUGACGGGGGCCCGCACAAGCGGCGGAGCAUGCGGAUUAAUUCGAUGCAACGCGAAGAACCUUACCAAGGCUUGACAUGUUCUCGAUCGCCGUAGAGAUACGGUUUCCCCUUUGGGGCGGGUUCACAGGUGGUGCAUGGUUGUCGUCAGCUCGUGUCGUGAGAUGUUGGGUUAAGUCCCGCAACGAGCGCAACCCUCGUUCCAUGUUGCCAGCACGUA